rnacentral:rRNA from 1 species
GACAGAGGGUGCAAACGUUGUUCGGAAUUACUGGGCGUAAAGCGUGUGUAGGCGGCCGCGUAAGUCGGGUGUGAAAGCCCCAGGCUUAACCUGGGAAGUGCACUCGAAGCUGCGUGGCUUGAGUAUCGGAGAGGUUGGUGGAAUUCUCGGUGUAGAGGUGAAAUUCGUAGAUAUCGAGAGGAACACCGGUGGCGAAGGCGGCCAACUGGACGAAUACUGACGCUGAGACACGAAAGCGUGGGGAGCAAACAGG